rnacentral:piRNA from 1 species
UUGAAUUCUGGAAGAGAGAAACUAUAUACGCU